UAAGGAACAGUUCUGAAGACCAGCCGUUAGAGGAUAAAGAUGAAGGACGACAAUGGCAUAAAGGAUGGAAAUCUUACCAACUACCAGAGGAAAGCAUAAAAUUGGCUACCAAGGCUACAUGUAUUCAAAACAGAUCUCCAAAGUAUCUCAUGUACGAUGAAGAGAAGACUACGUUGGCUAGGACAUGUCAGCCACAAGCCAGUUGGACAAAUUCCUAAGAAUAUUCUGUAUGUUGGACUUGCGGAUGGAGCAGAGGCAUAUUUAUUUAUUUAUUUCUUGUGUAAUCUCUUAUCUAGUUACAAUGAGAUGUGUUAGUCACAAUCUGUCAAUGUGUAUUGAAACCAUUAUAGGCUUUUACCUUGCAUUAUUACGAAACGAUGAUUCCAAAUAAUUCCAGAUCAAAAUUCUGUCAGUAGUGUACGAGUAAAACUGCUAUAACAGCGUUCAAUACAAUAAUUCUAUUAAAUGUCAAUAAUGGCUAUGUUGUUUUCACUUUAGAAUAAUGUAAGCUGUUCUUUUUUUUCUGUGUUGAUUUUUUGAGGCCAGUGUUUCUCAAACUGUGGAGCUCACUUUGUAGAAAUAAUAUUAUUAGGAACGUUAUAAAGAUAAAGAACUAAAUUAAGUAAAGUCGCUUCAUUAGUUAGAACCUUUCAUACUGUUUUAAUGAGAAAUGUCUGUUAAAA